rnacentral:lncRNA from 13 species
UUCAUAUAUACAUAAUAUAUAUGUGAAUAAUAUAUAUAUGAAGGAGAUACAAAAAAUUAUAUAUAUAUAAACAAAGAAUUUUCCUAGAAUGUGGCUUGUAUCUUCACCUUCUUAAUAAUGUCAUUCAAAGACUAAAAUAUUUGUAUUAUCUUAAUAAUAUCCAACUUCUCAAAUUCUCCUUAGUGUUUUUAUUACCCUGAAGUGAUACAAGAAGGCUAGAUGGGACUACUAUUCUUCAUUUCAGAUGUUUUCCACAACAAAGCUUUCAAUGGCUUUGGACCAUCAACCGUCUACAAUAGACUGCCAGCAAAACUCACUGAUCAAGCCAACUUGAAUGUAAUAAACUUAGUGUAGCAUGGAUAAAAUCUUAGCAGUGUCUUAAAAGGAGGAAAUUGUGCACUAGGUUUAUAGGUUUAAGCUUAAAUGGUUUUGGUCCUCAAGGUGGUAAACUGUUUGGAAUUGGGAAAGUUUAUGACAUAGUGAUGUGGAAUUAGUGAACACAGAGCACCAAGGAAGGGUAUUGAAUCGAUUCUUCAUGAGGAAAUUGUCCGGAUAAGUGAGCUGUUCAUCCAGGUGAGAAAAUUUUUGGCCUAGAUGAACUGAUUUGCAAAAAAUUCCUGAAGUAAACAGAGUAGUUAUUGAUUUUUAUUCUUAACUUUCUGUGCAAGAAUUUUCUGGAGCAAAGAGUUACAUUACAUUGUCAAAGGUGGUCUCAGUUCUCAAUCCUAACAAUUAUAUUUAUUUAUAUAUAUAUAUAUAUAUAUAUAUAUAAAAUUAUAAUAUAUUUAUAUAUUUAUAUAUAAUUAUAAUAUAUUUAUAUUUAUAAUUAUAUUGAUAUCAGUGGUGUCAGUUCUUGUGGUUUUUAUUAAGUAUUUAUAUCAGUCAUCUUCAUUUUGAAAUUAUUUUUAGAAAUAUUUAAAAAAUCUAAUAAUUUUAUAGUUUCCUCUUUCCCUUCCUCUCCAUUUUCUCCUGUUUUUUCCUCCCAAUUUAUUUGCUUGUGUAUUAGUCAGGAUUCUCUGGAGGGACAGGCUAAUAGGAUAUACAUGAAAAUGGGAGUUUAUUACGGAGAAUUGACUCACAAGAUCACAAGGUAAAGUCCCAAGAUAGGCCCUCUGCAAUUUCAGGAGCAAAGAAGCCAGUGGUAAGUCAGUCCAAGUCCCAAAACCUCAAAGGUGGGGAAGCCAACAGUGCAGCCCUCCGUCUGUAGCCAAAGGUCCAACACCUUCAGAGAGAGAUUAUUUACUUUUACUUCUCUUAGGUGAAAUCUCUUAUUUUACCUAUUUGUAAGGAAAAGUUUAUCACAGGUAUAUAUAGACAGGGAAAAACAUAGUGUACAUAGGCUCUGGUACUAUCAGUGUUCAGGCAUCCACUAGGGAUUUUGGAAUGUAUCCCCCAUAGAUAAGGGGACAAUACUGUAUUUAUUUUUCCAACGUCUUCCUCCUCUUAUGUAUCUGCUGUGAGUUUCUAAUUUAAAUGGAUAUAUUUUGAAUGUCAUUUUGUCAAAAUUGUGUAUCUUUUCCAUAGUAGUAUUUUUCUGCUAUGUCUCCCUUACUUGUCAUGUAUAUUUUUCCCAUUAUUUAUUAUGUACCUUAUAGGAUCUUUGUAGAGAUUAUAAGCCAAACAUUUAAAAGUACUAUUUACUGUGAAUGAGGGAAGUUCUAUCUUUGCCAUUAUCUUUUGGUAGAAGUGUUCUAUGGUUUAAAAGUGAGAACAGACAGCCAGGAUGUCUUCCUCAUUUAUAAAGAAAUUUAUCAUGACACAAGGUUUUAGAUUUGUGUGUAUGUUGAAAAAUCAAAUCAUUCAAAUUUUAAAAAUGUACAAUCUUAUUGUGAAUAUAAAACAAUAGGUUUCAAACUGGGAUUUCCCAAACCAAGUGUUAAAAAGCUCACCUUACAAUAGCUAUGACACAGCUUAUAAAGCUUAAAAAGAAAGUGUUUUGGCCUUUUUAAAGAUUGGCUGUUAUACAUGAACAUUCACUUUAAGGCAAGAUGAGCAGUUUAAGUUGAUAGGUCUGUAGCUGAUUGGUGCAAUUUGACAAGAACAUAAAGCUUAUGUCUUCUUGGUUUAUGAUUACAGCUAGGAUUUCAGGAAAAUCAGGAUAAUUUAAGUUUUCCAUAGUGCCCAUUGUAUGCAAAAAAUAUGUUCAAACAGUAUGGCAUGAUACACAUAGGUAUCUAUCUGCUCAUCCAGCUUGCCUGCUUCGAGUCUGUACUGCAGUCGUACCUAAGGUCUCAAGUCUCUCCCAAAAUAUUGUGUGCUAAAUACUGGUAAACUAAAACAGCUCACAACAUGCUGUACACAUGCUGUAUAAUUUCCUUCCCUUGAAUAUGAGUUGCUUUGACUCAAUCAAGUGAGUCCUUUUGAAAGAGGAUGUGAAGGACAGAGAUAAAAGAAGUCUGAGAUACUCAAAGCUGCACAGAUGCCCUCUUGGCCGCAGGAGGCUUGAAUCCUAGAACCGCAGGGCACUGAAUUCAUCAAACUAUCUGAAUAAUUUUUGAAACAGAUGCUAAACCCCAGAUAAGAACACUAGACAGGCUGGUGUGUGUAAACACACAGUGAAAAACAUGCUUUUCAGUUUCCAAUAUUGUGGGAAUAUCUGCAAAUUAUUAAGAUGCAAUAAAAGAAUAUCUAUAAAAUAAUUUGUUGCA